AGGCGACUUCUCUGGUGCUGUAACUGACGCUGAUGGUAGCGAAAGCGUGGGGAUCAAACAGGAUUAGAUACCCUGGUAGUCCACGCCGUAAACGAUGAGUGCUAAGUGUUAGGGGGUUUCCGCCCCUUACUGCCGCAGCUAACGCAUUAAGCACUCCGCCUGGGGAGUACGACCGCAAGGGUGAAACUCAAAGGAAUUGACGGGGACCCGCACAAGCGGUGGAACAUGUGGUUUAAUUCCAAGCAACGCGAAGAACCUUACCAAGUCUUGACAUCCCCUGACCCCUCCUAAAAAAAAAGUUUUCCCUUCGGGGGACGGAGUGAGGGGGGGCGCGGGUGUGUCCUCCUCUCGGGGCGUGAAAAA
rnacentral:rRNA from 1 species